CGGGCACCAGUUCCGGGUGGGCAGGCUGGUGCCCGGCGCGCGUCGAGCUCUUCUCCCUGAACCCCGAGCUGAGCGGCAGCUGUCCGCCGGAGCUGCUCAGCACCCCGCUCCUGGAGAGCUUCCGCGGAAUCCAGGUCCUUGGGCACUGAUGGAUUUUAGCUACCUGUUUAUUGCAAACUCCAACAUCCUUGAAAGAAGAUCAGUCUAGGUCGGGGAGAACAUGGCGGACAGAUAGCAGCAGCUACGGAGAGAGAGCCUACGUAGAGACCCAGCUUAGAAUCCAGGAAUGGUGCGGAGUGAGGAAUCCUAAGCAAGAGGAGAUAUACCCUGCUGACCCAAGAACGAACUGGGCUGAGAGAAACCAACUGGGAAUGCAAUCCUGGUGCUAUAACAGGAACAGAUAAAGCCUCAGCAUGGAAGCUGGAGCCCAAGCCAUUGGAAACUGCGGUUUGGGUUUCCCGCCGCCUCUGCUGCGUCUACAUCGGCUCGGCAGGGAGAGAGACCCGUGAAAGCUCUGAGAACAGGAAUCGGUGAACUGAGUUGAGAGUGGGACGGGCGGGGAGCUAUGCAUCGACCUGUGGUGAGUGAGAGAAACUGGGACUCUUCCAUGAUCUAGGAGGCUCCAACAGAGGACAUUCUGGAACCGGGCAGACUUGCUGGAACAGGGCGCUGUAGUGACUUCAGUCACAUAUCUUCCUCUCAAGCUGGAUUGGUGAGCAGUGCCUAGCCUAUGUGACACUGCUGGCUGAGACCCAGUAGGCUAGCACAACCCAUGUCCCAGCGUCUGGAGGUGCACCCUAGCGGUGAAGCCUUCGGUAGGUUGAUCUGGAGGGGUGGGCCCCACAUAGGCUGCCCGGUCCAUAACUCCCUGGUGCGCUGCGGUGGGCGGGAACACCUAGCCAGUGUGAUUCAAACAGACUGUGGCCAACAGGGAAGGAAGCUCAGCCUGCUAUAUACGCUUGUAUAUAAGGAACAAAGAAUAUGGGAAGAGGGAGCAACAAGAAAGGCUCCUCGGCCCCCAAUCCUGAAAAACAUGCAAUAGCAGACACGACACCAAUAGACAUAAAUCGUGAUCUCCAGAGCCUCAUAGACGAGUUCAGGAAUGAAGUUAUUAAUGACCUGAAGCAAGACAUAAGCAGAAUAGUUAGAGAAAUGCUAAGCACUGCCCAGAAAAAACAGAUGGUGGAAUGGAAGAACAGAAAAAAAGGGGAGAAUUGUUUGAUGGAGAAAAUAGAGAAGACAAAGAAUAUGUGAAGCAGGUUCAAAGAGAUUACCAGGAAACUAAAAACUCUAUUGAAAACUAGCUUAACAGCUUGAAAGAAACUAAGGAUAGAUUAUCUGAACUGGAGGGCAAAUUUGUAAUAUGGGAGCAUGAAAUGAAAAACUUCUUAAAAAUAACAAAGAAACAAACAGCAAUAAUACAAAGGCUAGAAGAUGAUAAGAGGAUCUAUAACUUAAGAAUUAAGAACAUAAAAGAAGAGGUAGGGACACAAACCAAUGAACUACAAAAGCUACUCACAGAAAUAAUCCAGGAGAAUUUUCCUAAUUUAGCAAAAGGUAAAGAUACUCAGAUGUAUGAAGCAUACAGGACUCCAGCCACCUACAACCCAAACAGAGCUACACCCAGGCAUAUAAUACUCAAAAUACCAGAAAUCCAAUAUAAGAACAGAAUACUAACAGCCAUCAGAGACAAGAAACAGAUCACUUACAAGGGAACACCCAUCAGAAUUACAGCAGACUUCUCGGCACAAACCAUCAAAUCACGAAGAGCGUGGGGGGAAAAAUUCAAGCAUUGAAAGAUAAUAACCUCCAGCCAAGAUUGAUAUAUCCUGCACAACUAUCCCUGGAAAUUGAUGGAAAAACAAGGUGCUUCCAGGAUAAAGAGGAACUAGGGGAAUAUGCAACCACCAAUUCAACUCUACAGCGAAUACUGCAGGAUAUUCUAAAAAAGAAAAAUACUAAGAAUCCAGAAAUAGUGGCAGAGAGGCCACAAUGAAUGGAGCAGAAAACAAAAUGAAGAAGACAAACUGACAACUAAUGACAGAAAAAGAUCUCAACAGAAAUGAGGCAGAGAAGAUUGGAUGAUAGGAACAGCUAUUUCAGAGAAAAUGACGUCAUAAUAGGUAAUGCUGAUUUAAUAUCAUCUUGUUUUGAAGUCCUAUCAAGCUUUUGUUCUUCUGUCUCCAUAGGUCUUAACAUGUUGUAUCUUAUUGGAUUUUAUUAUAUGUGAUAGUAUAAACAAAAACUUUUGUAGACAAGGAGAUUAUACAGAAACCACUUCAUUUUCUGUUAGUUGAUUCUAAAUACCCUGUAAUACUGUCAUUUUCUUGAAUGGUUUUACAUUGUUUUGAUAUAUUUGAUGCUACAGUAUACAAAGUUAUACUCAAAGAUUUCAAGAAAAGAGACAAUAUGGUAACUACUCUUAUGUUGGGAUUAUCUUAUGGUGAAACACUAUUUUGCUUAAAUGGUUAUGUUUUGAUCUGUGCUGUUUUGUUAUUAUGCCCUCUUUUAUCUCAAUCUCCAUUUUAUUAUUUACUUUUUUAUUUUUAUCCUUUUAAUUAAGGGAAAAAUAAAUAAAAAAUAGCAGAAUAUAUUAUAGUAACCCACUUUGAUUUUCUAUUAACUUGAUUUGAAGCCCUGUAUUGCUCUCACCGUCUUGUUUUGACUGAUGCUCCUCUAUUCUGUUUUGUUUGAUAGUACCAGGUUUGAAAGUUUAGGCAACAGCUGUGAAAAUAGUGGGAUUCAUUAUGAUGCCCAUUCUGGUUGACUAUUAUCUACUCUUGAAGACCUGUAAUGUCUCCAAUGCUUUAGUUUUGUUGGUUUCAUUCUUUACUGUUUUGUUCAAUUUUAUUAUAACUGAUGAUAUAGGCAAUUCUACUAGAGAUAGCGGGAGGCAUUAUGGUAACCAUUGUUGAUCACCUUGUAUUAUAUUUUUACAUUAUUAUGUCCAGCCUUUUGAUUUGACUGACUCUGUUCUGUUAUGUCACAUUUGGUUUUACUCUGUUCCAAAAAUGUAAUAAGAACUGUGGGAGUAAUAAAACCCAAAAUGUGUAAUAGUCAUUGUACAAAAGAGUGGAAAAGAAAGUGCUCUAAACCAUAUAACUGCAUGUAUAUUUAAGUGUAUAAGAUAGACAAUGAUAUUACUGAGUUUUGUUGGAUCAUUGAACAGAACUGUUUGCAGUCUCAGUGUUUGAAUGUCCACUUUAUAUGCUUUAAUUUUGUAACUUGAACAAAUAUUUCUAAGAUAACAAUAUGUAAACCAUUAAUUAGUGAUUUCCUACUGUUUAUUUUUUCUGAAAUUCUGUAUAACAUGUACCCUUUUUCUGCUUUUUUUUCUUUUUCUCCUUAAAUAAAAAAAAAUCAGUCUAGUUUAUAAAUAUCAUGAUAUUAUAUAAUUUUUUUGUUUACCACAGCAUUUUGUUUUCUCAGUGUUAACUAUAAAUUUAUCAUUUCAAUAGAAAUUUUGUGUAUUUUGUUCCCUGCUGUAUCCCAGUGCAUAGAAUAGUUCCUGCCUCAUAGUAGCUUAAUAAACAUUUACUGUUGAAAUGAA